GGUGGCAUCCCAAUGGCGGCCAGAGGUCGGGUACCAGAUGUGGCCGGUGGCUGGCCAGGGGCAGGGAGCUUUGCUGACAUGUGCCAUUCUUUGCCCAGAUAGAAGCAAGAAGCAGGCGCCUCACUGCUACCUACACUGGGAUGGCCAUCUGGGAUGUCAUCAAGGAUGCCUGGGUGACAUUCUCAGUAAGUGGGAACUCAUGACUCAGGAGGCUAGAGGAGGGGCUUCCAGAGAAGAUCCCUCUCUGAUAUCAACAGGAGCUACGGUUUCAUAGAAUUUGCUACAAACUACACUCUGUGCUAGGAGCUCUGCAUGUAAGGUCUCUAAUCUAAACAACCCCACAAAGAAGUAGAAAUCUCCAUUUGACAGAUGAAGAAACUGAGGCUGUAUUGCAGUGGCUUGCCUAGGUUAGGCUUUAUAGCUUACAAGUGGCAGAGCCACGAUCUGAGUCCAGGUCGUGGAUUCAUUUAUCAUGUAUCCAUGAGCCCUCCCUCCAUGAGAAGCAGCACAAGCAGAAGGCAGAUGUUGAAAUGCAUUCCUUUUAGCCCGAGGGCACCUCUCUGGCCCUGAGUAGGCUUCCCUGUGACAUCCUUUGAGCUCUCUGUCCUGACCACAAAGGCAGUUGCGUGCAUCUCACCAAGCCUGGGUCCCGACUUGGCAAGGGUUUGCUCAGUACAUUAAGGGCCAGGGCUAGCUCAGCAAAACCAAGAUUCAUUUAUCAUCUCUGGAAAGAUGUCCACCUGAAACAGUAUGCUACUAGGAAAUUAAAAUAAAAACCUUCUCCUGAUUUUACAGUGGUACAAAUAGAAUGCCUCAUAUCUCUGGAAAGAGAAUUUGAUGAUCGCUCCCAGGUCAGGCGGUUCCUGUGGCCUCUACACUGCUCUUCCUGUUGCCAGCAGCCCAGGGGAACUAGUUGCAUCCCUGUUCCCUCAGCAGACUGUUCAAAACCAGGCCAUGUCUCAAUGAUCCCCGCACCCCUCCAUAAACAGCCCCUUCUUUCCAGCCCUGCCCCUGUGUACCUCUGCCCUUCAACAAAUGCAUGCUGGUCCUGUAAGCCUGUCCCUGGCUUGCCCACCUGAUGGAGUCCUGCUUGUCAAGACUGCAUUCCCUUUCCUGAGAAGUCUCCCCUCUCCUUCUGCUCCCAUGAGUAGGGCAUUGCUGCUCUUUCUCCCCUAAGGAGGCUAAGGGACCCUGGCCUCUGGCCCAAGGCCUGGCAUGUAGAAAGUAAGUGCAAAGAAACACCUGCUCAAGAGCAGGAAGCCAGCAUCAAAUUCUUAGUCAGGUUAUCACCAAGCAUCUGAAAAAUGCCAGGCAAACCAGCCACUGUCCCCAUCACUCAGGUUAUUUUGUCCACAAGACUGGCAACAUUUCUGGUUUCCUUCUGAUCAGGAAAAACUCUCAACCUGGAGGUACCCUAGUCGUACAGGCUGAACCCCAGGGCCAUCCCUAAAAGCAAGAGACUUUUUGAGUGGAAUGCAAAUGUUGAAGCGAUGGGAAGCUUAGAUGUGAAAUAUCCCAAAAUUUCCCCAGUGUGUCUGUUAAAGAAAGAAAGACAGGUUCACUAGACAGAGGGGUGGUUGUUUUUUCUUCCCUCAGAACAAAUGGAUGGAGAACCUGGUUUAAAAUUCCUGGACCCUGGAAUACAUUUCUAUCUGUGUCAAAGUCUACUAUCCAGCGCCUCGGCAGAGUUUAAAAUCCUAGCUAAUAGGUUAACAACUGUUUUUCUUCAGCUUCAAAUGAAGAAUAUCAGAAGGCUGGGGGAAUAUGCAGCUCUCCAAUUUGUACGGACUGCACACAGCUCCCUGCAAUGUGUGUUUGACAGGACUGACAUUUUGUACCGCUGUGAGAUGGGAAAACGUGUGACAUUUUUAUUCAUGGUGGCGUACGCCCUUGUAAUGAUCAGCUCUGGUCGAUGUGCUUACCGCAGCAGCCCCUGAGCCCUCAGAGAACAAACAGGAACCCAAGGUGCCAGCAGUUCGACUGCCUUAUUAAACACCGCCAGGAUCCUAACGAAGACCAACUGCUGGAAAAUCUCACUGUCAAAUCCUCAAGGACAUUGUCAGCGCACAGCUAACUGCAUAUAUUUUUCAUUUAAAAUACUGAAAUCCAGCAUUGUGCCAUCACAACCAAGGGGAGGGGCGCCUGCUUUAGCGGCCAUCCUGUCAGCUGCUUCUUCGGAGCUCCAGAUGCUGGAGCCAGAUGCCCAGUGGGGGUCAGAGCGCAAAGGGGGAAGCAGAGAUGGGAAACUGCCUUUCCGAAAACCCAGCCCUACCUUCAGGGUGAACUGCAGAAAGUUAUAGGGCUCUGGGAACAGUCACUCAGGAAGUGAACUCACUGGCUCCCCUUGCAAGCCAAAGCAAAUCUGCAUAAUUAGAAAAUCCGUCUUCCCCAGCCAGCCAUCUUCCUGUAGAUGCAACCUACCACAUCCUGCAACUCGGUGCUAAUCAGCCUUCUGCUUCGCAGCAGACCUUAAGACAUCUGCAGGAACACACGGCCGCGCUCUGAUGCACCAAGACACUCUCUGCUAUUUAUUUAUGGGAUCCUUGGCGUGAAAGGCCUAACAAGCUGCCUAUGCUUGGUGUGUGUGGGUUUGCAACAAAUCGUAAGUGACUAGCUAAACAACUGGAUGGUCUCCACCACCAUGGGCACAGGCUUGCAUUUUAAGAGGCUGCCUGUAAAGUUGGUUUGGCUGUACAUAAUUUACUGCUGUACAUAAUUCUUGGACAAAAUGACCCGGCAUGGUGAAGAGCUGGCAAUCUAGGGAGGAGGAGCUACAGUGUCCAUAACCUGGGAUGGAGCGUGAAGCAAGUUAUGGAGAUCUUGGGGCUUAUAGGACCCAGAGGAUGUAAAAAGAAAGAAAAAUCCUCACAUCUGCAAAGUCAGUCUCCAGCUUUCUACUGACUGCUUCAUCCCAGUGGCCUUUCAUCUUGCCAAGGCACAUCUGGAAAUAUUCACAGUCAAUCUCUCCAGAUGUGAAAACAGGGAUUUACCCAGAGGGGGUUCAGGACUGGGGCAUCCCAAGGGGGGCUAAGAUGAGUCCAUAACUACGGAACCAUGUGGCUGAUGGCAACAACAUCCCAGGAAUCCAGUUUAAACAACUAUUUAAACUAUUUCUCUUCCCACAGUGUCCCAGAAUGAAUAUCCCUGCUGCCAUCCUCUUGAAUAGAACCCCACCCUGGCUUCUAGUCACCAAUGAAAGAGGGAUACACUUGACAUCCUUUGGGAAAAGUA